AGGAGGCAGCAGUGAGGAAUAUUGCGCAGUGGGGGAAACCCUGACGCAGCAACGCCGCGUGAAGGAUGAAGGCUUUCGGGUUGUAAACUUCUUUGAUUGGGGACGAUAAAAGACGGUACCCAAGGAACAAGCCACGGCUAACUACGUGCCAGCAGCCGCGGUAAUACGUAGGUGGCGAGCGUUGUCCGGAAUUACUGGGUGUAAAGGGCGUGUAGGUGGGAGUACAAGUCAGAUGUGAAAUACCAUGGCUUAACUGUGGGGCUGCAUCUGAAACUGUACUUCUUGAGUACUGGAGAGGAAAGCGGAAUUCCCAGUGUAGCGGUGAAAUGCGUAGAUAUUGGGAGGAACACCAGUGGCGAAGGCGGCUUUCUGGACAGAAACUGACACUGAGGCGCGAAAGCGUGGGGAGCAAACAGGAUUAGAUGCCCCUGUAGUCCG
rnacentral:rRNA from 1 species